UAGAGAGCAGGAAUAGAGAGCAGGAAUAGAGAGCAGGAAUAGAGAGCAGGAAUAGAGAGCAGGAAUAGAGAGCAGGAAUAGAGAGCAGGAAUAGAGAGCAGGAAUAGAGGGCAGGAAAACAGAGCAGGAAUAGAGAGCAGGAAUAGAGAGCAGGAAUAGAGAGCAGGAAUAGAGAGCAGGAAUAGAGGGCAGGAAUAGAGAGCAGGAAUAGAGAGCAGGAAUAGAGAGCAGGAAUAGAGAGCAGGAAUAGAGAGCAGGAAUAGAGAGCAGGAAUAGAGAGCAGGAAUAGAGGGCAGGAAUAGAGAGCAGGAAUAGAGAGCAGGAAUAGAGAGCAGGAAUAGAGAGCAGGAAUAGAGAGCAGGAAUAGAGAGCAGGAAUAGAGGGCAGGAAUAGAGAGCAGGAAUAGAGAGCAGGAAUAGAGAGCAGGAAUAUAGAGCAGGAAUAGAGAGCAGGAAUAGAGAGCAGGAAUAGAGAGCAGGAAUAGAGGGCAGGAAUAGAGAGCAGGAAUAGAGAGCAGGAAUAGAGAGCAGGAAUAGAGAGCAGGAAUAGAGAGCAGGAAUAGAGGGCAGGAAUAGAGAGCAGGAAUAGAGAGCAGGAAUAGAGAGCAGGAGUUGUCGGCCGCUGGCUGAACCAGAACCCUUCUCCUCCUCUACAAUUAAAUGACAUGCAUGGACAUUUUUCCAUCUGCAUAUUGUUCUAAAAUGUUUGCUGAUGACCAAGCAAGUGUCCCAACUAGUCUAUUUGUUGCUUGUGAAAGAAAGUACACUCUGUUCCACAACCACUCCUGAUCUUGUUGCAGCCUGCCAGAUAAUUAUUCUUGUCUUUUCACAGCCUUUGGUUAUCUUGUUUUCAGGUAACAUUGGCAUUUCCUAUAAUGAUUUUAUCUAUGGUCAACUGUUUUCAGGUAACAUUGGCAUUUCCUAUAAUGAUUUUAUCUAUGGUCAACUGUUUUCAGGUAACAUUGGCAUUUCCUAUAAUGAUUUUAUCUAUGGUCAACUGUUUUCAGGUAACAUUGGCAUUUCCUAUAAUGAUUUUAUCUAUGGUCAACUGUUUUCAGGUAACAUUGGUAUUUCCUAUAAUGAUUUUAUCUUGAGACCGAGCGCAAAUCAACUGGUGUGCAACUCUGGUUAGAAAUGAACACACACCACACACUCCAUGUUAGUCAUAAUCAUCAUUCAGUGGACCCUCCCAGGUUUAACCUCUGCACGGUGGAGUUGCAUAGUAGUCUGGGAAAGUUACUAGGAUGAGUAGUUUAGCCUUCCCAUAGAUUACAAAUGAACUUGAAAUGGAAAGUGUUUUGGAAAUGCUGUUUUACAAUGUAACACUGAAUGGGUAACUGGAAUCCUAAAACAAAUGUCAGAUGUUUCCAGAGCCAUAACUGAGUGCUCCCUUUGUGUUCCUUUUUUUGAAUGAUUGUCUCACAAUUUUAAUCAAGGAGUUCUAACUUUUUAAUGACUUGUAAAAUGUUUAAUUGACAGUCAACAAUGAAUAUGAUUAUAAAUCCUUUAUAAACCCGUAACCGUAUUGUAAAGUGUUACCCUUUAACUCAGUUUAGGGGGGACAGUCAGAGUGAACAAGGAGUUGGUUUAUGAUCAGCCACUUCCUGGUAAAUCUACCCUCCUUGAACAUCUGUCAACAGGCUUUUAUCAAGGCCUUGUUUAAGUCCUAUCUUUUUGAGUGCCCUUUUCAGUGUCCAUCCAUACUGUGCUGCCUGUACCCCCCUUCCAGCAUGGUGGUACCUCAUUUCGGCUCCCCUUGGGGGCCAGGCAGAGCGUGGUGUUUGUUGACUACACAGUGUACACUGUUGUUAUGGCACAGGGCCAAUGAGAGCAGACUGUAACAUGCAUCACAUCUCCCAUCCAAUUACACUGAUGUAGUGUGUCAACCAAACACAGCCUCAAAUGGCCCCAAGGGACACAUACAACCACUGUGAGACGUCCAAUAGCAGCCCCACUGUUCCAGCAGCUCUAUAGUGUAAUGAAUCUGAUGGCUACUGGUAACCAUCCGGUCAUUCAGACAGGAGGUGUGUUUUUAUCCCCACUGUUAGACAUACAUGUGGCAGAUAGAGGUUAAACCAUUUGGAUUUAAACCUGAGGAAGAUUAAAUGUAUUAGUUUGUUUCUGGACUUUCUCAGUUCAUUCUUCGUAGGUUUGGUGAUUGGAAAAUCGGAUGGUGUUAGGAGUUGAAAUGGGGAAAUGGUAGGACUCAUGAUCUGCUCAGGUUCAAUGGAGAGGGACAUUACAUGUCACGAUCCAAUCAUGUUAGUGUAUUUUCAAAAGGAAAUACCAAAUUGACAAAAUGAAAAAAUGACAUUACAUGAGGAGAGUACUGUAUUAGCCAUGUACACAGAACCCACAUCUCAUUUCCAAGAGCAGACUAGUUUCACAGUGCAUUUCAGACCGACAGCAUUGUCCACCAAUCCAGGUGACGCAGCACAACUGUGUCACUCCACAGUCCAGUCAGUCGAUAUAUCCUUGCUUGGUGCCUUUGGAACAUUCCACCUGACUUACUUUACCAUCGGAGGGAAGCAGAAGUGUCCGGUGUCUGAUUCCUGCUCAGCCAGUGAGGAUUGUUUCUGCACACCGGUCAAGGGGAUGACCACCAAUCCCCCUGGAGGAGCAGGAGGGUUUCCCUACACUGGUUGUCCAUGGGGCUGUAACACUAGCAGCUGUGUGUUUCAGAAUGGCAGAGUGUGGAACACAGAGGGGAAGAGGGAGUGUGUGUGAGUCGAUCAUUCUGCAAGGAUCACUGUGUGUGUGUGUGUGUGUGUGUGUGUGUGUGUGUGUGUGUGUGUGUGUGUGUGUGUGUGUGUGUGUGUGUGUGUGUGUGUGUGUGUGUGUGUGUGUGUGUGUGUGUGUGUGUGUGUGUGUGUGUGUGUGUGGCCUCAGAGAAAAGGUGCUCUGUGCUUCCGUCUGAGACUGUUUGUAGACUAUAGUGAGACUGUUUGUAGACUAUAGUGAGACUGUGUGCAGACAGUUGUGUAAAGUACAUAAGUAAAAAUACUUUAAAGUAAUACUUAUGUAGUUUUCUUUGUUGUCUGUACUUUACUUUACUAUUUAUAUGUUUGACUACUUUAACUUUUAUUUCACUACAUUCCUAAAGAAAAUAAUGUACUUUUUACUCAAGUAGUGUUUUACUUGGCGACUUUCACUUUUACUUGAGUCAUUUUCUUUUAAGGUAUCUUUACUUUUACUCAGGUAUGACAAUUUGGUACUUUUCCCACUACUGUGUGUAGACUAUAGUGAGACUGUGUGUAGACCUUACCCACUGGGCCCAGACGUCAAUUCAAUCUCUAUUCCACAUUGGUUCAAUGUCAUUUAAUUGGAAGGACGAGGAAACCAUGUUGAUUCAAACAGUGUGUGCCCAGUGGUUAGAGUCUGUAUGACUGCGAGGGCUGCCCUCUCAGAGCUGUUCUGAUGCACACAGCAAACCAUGCAGCCUGGGUAGAGUUUAGUGCUUUUUCCUGACUAUGAACUUGAUCUUAGUUGACUUCUCCCUCUCUGUCGAUCCUGUUGGCUUCUCUCUUGCUUCUCUCUUCCCCUGUCUCUCUCUCCCCCUGUCUCUCUCUCCCCCUGUCUCUCUCUCUUCCCCUGUCUCUCUCUCCCCCUGUCUCUCUCUUCCCCUGUCUCUCUCUCCCCCUGUCUCUCUCUCUCUCUUCCCCUGUCUCUCUCUCCCCCUGUCUCUCUCUUCCCCUGUCUCUCUCUCCCCCUGUCUCUCUCUUCCCCCUGUCUCUCUCUUCCCCUGUCUCUCUCUCCCCUGUCUCUCUCUCCCCCUGACUCUCUCCCCUGUCUCUCUCCUCUCUCUCUGAAUGUCACUGCUAGCAUAUGGUAUUGGUAUUGCUGGCCUGUCUCUCUCUCCCCUGUCUCUCUCUCCCCCUGUCUCUCUCUCCCCAUGUCUCUCUCUCCCCCUGUCUCUCUCUCCCCCUGUCUCUCCUCCCCAUGUCUCUCUCUCCCCCUCUCUCUCUCUCCCCAUGUCUCUCUCUCCCCCUGUCUCUCUCUCCCCUGUCUCUCUCCCCCCCUGUCUCUCUCCUCUCUCUCUGAAUGUCACUGCUAGCAUAUGGUAUUGGUAUUGCUGGCCUGUCUCUUUCUAAACACAUGAAAUGGUGAUGAGGAUGAUUCCACAACUGCAGAAUGAUUGCAAUUCCUGCCACUCCUUAACUCUGUUUCCCUGCCUGGAGAUAUUCUACAUUCCUCCAUCACUCUCAACAUCCUAUCUCCUAGUAUUCUCUCUCUCUCGUUCUCUUUUGUCCCUCCCUCUCCGUUCUCCCUGUCAACAGUUUGACUCUGUAAAACCUUAAAAGGAAAUGUUAUUCUCGGUCCGUAUUGUAAUCCAAUUAAGGCACAUGCUUCAUACUUCUUAGACAAAGUAUAAAUUCCCUAAAAGACUGUUCUUAGCCGUACCUGCGGUCGCCACCUUGGGGAAUUGGACGACUGAACCCAAAGUAAACAUCUGUUUGACAUUAGUCUCCAGUCUGAUUCACAGCUGAAUGCAGCUAGGGCUGGACUGCACUGAGGUGAACCUCAUCUUUCAUUCAUAGCAGCGUUUUCCACACUGCCCUUUGUUUGUUGCUAGGCAGUGGUACAGUUGUGGUUUUAAAAACCAAUAGAAGAGAUGUUCAUAUUAAAGGGAUAUUACACUCUAAAGUCAAAGUUUGGCAGAUGUAUUUCUUUUUUAUCUCAAAAGGGAUCUUGUGUUGAGGAAAGUCCACGUCCCAGGCUAUAUAUUGUGUAGAUCCAUAAAUACACAUCCCAGGCUAUAUAUUGUGUAGAUCCAUAAAUACACAUCCCAGGCUAUAUAUUGUGUAGAUCCAUAAAUACACAUCCCAGGCUAUAUAUUGUGUAGAUCCAUAAAUACACAUCCCAGGCUAUAUAUUGUGUAGAUCCAUAAAUACACAUCCCAGGCUAUAUAUUGUGUAGAUCCACAAAUACACGUCCCAGGCUAUAUAUUGUGUAGAUCCAUAAAUACACAUCCCAGGCUAUAUAUUAUGUAGAUCCAUAAAUACACAUCCCAGGCUAUAUAUUGUGUAGAUCCAUAAAUACACGUAUAUACAUAUAUCAUUUCCGUAUUUGUGGUGCUUAUCUUUUCAAUGUAUUUUUGGUUGAGGAGUAGUUGGCUCUGCCGAACCGAUUGCAGGGGAUGUGGAGCCAUCUUAAGGUCUGUAAACCUCUGGCAAACUCUGACAACGGAGUGUAGUGUCCCCUUUAAGUAGCUGGUACAGCUAUUAGAAAAACAAAAGUCUACUGUAAUUUCAUUGGAUCAGGAUGUCUGCAAAACAAAAACAAACUGUAAUUCCAGUGACAAAGCAACAAGUACAUCUAUGUGGUGUACUGGUCCUAAUGAUGACAGACAGUUGUGGAAUAGAGGGAACUUUAACAUCGUUACAGAGGAAGUUCAUCUGUUUGGCAAGGACCAUGUUUUUCCACUCCAACCUUUCUGCCUAUUUCUUCCUUCCUUGUCCAACAACAAAUCCUUUAAAAAUCUCCUGAAUCAGACUGAAAUGAGGAGAAAGAAGAAAAGAGAGGCUGGUUUGUGUCGCUGUCAGCACCUUGUACCCAGACUGAUGGGCAGAGGGCUCGGGAGGAGGGGCCUGGGCCCGACAGUGUGUGACAACGUCUAGUGUGUGACUGAUUUCCUGUGCGCAUGCGUGCAUUCUGGUUAAAUUUUCCAAAAGAUUGCUGACGAGCUUCCUCAGAGCAGGCCAGGCACAUUCCUCUCUCAGAUUACAGCUGAUGAAACACUCAUGUGCCUCAGUCUUCCUACCAGCACCUGGUUGGCACCUGAACCAUCUGCAGACCAGACAGGGCAGCAUAGUUAAACCAGGUGUGUUGAAUUAAAGACAGGGCAGCAUAGUUAAACCAGGUGUGUUGAAUUAAAGACAGGGCAGCAUAGUUAAACCAGGUGUGUUGAAUUAAAGACAGGGCAGCAUAGUUAAACCAGGUGUGUUGAAUUAAAGACAGGGCAGCAUAGUUAAACCAGGUGUGUUGAAUUAAAGACAGGGCAGCAUAGUUAAACCAGGUGUGUUGAAUUAAAGACAGGGCAGCAUAGUUAAACCAGGUGUGUUGAAUUAAAGACAGGGCAGCAUAGUUAAACCAGGUGUGUUGAAUUAAAGACAGAGCAGCAUAGUUAAACCAGGUGUGUUGAAUUAAAGACAGAGCAGCAUAGUUAAACCAGGUGUGUUGAAUUAAAGACAGGGCAGCAUAGUUAAACCAGGUGUGUUGAAUUAAAGACAGGGCAGCAUAGUUAAACCAGGUGUGUUGAAUUAAAGACAGGGCAGCAUAGUUAAACCAGGUGUGUUGAAUUAAAGACAGGGCAGCAUAGUUAAACCAGGUGUGUUGAAUUAAAGACAGGGCAGCAUAGUUAAACCAGGUGUGUUGAAUUAAAGACAGGGCAGCAUAGUUAAACCAGGUGUGUUGAAUUAAAGACAGGGCAGCAUAGUUAAACCAGGUGUGUUGAAUUAAAGACAGAGCAGCAUAGUUAAACCAGGUGUGUUGAAUUAAAGACAGAGCAGCAUAGUUAAACCAGGUGUGUUGAAUUAAAGACAGGGCAGCAUAGUUAAACCAGGUGUGUUGAAUUAAAGGAGAAGCAAACGACCAGAGGAAUCUAGGACCAGGAGGGGAACCAGACUUUCAUCUGUUUGGGAGCAAAACCUCGCCAAUAUGUUACACCCAAACAGUCUACACUUAUGCACAGUCUGAACGGACGGUAAAAACGUGGGUCUAUAAAGCAUUUUACUGUUGUUCUCUUCCAUCCCAUAACACCCUUAAACCAUCAGUGUCUGACUGACCAGUAAAACGGAAAUAGAUUAUUUCAGUAGAGUUAAAACAUGUCUCCCUCUCUUCCGCUC